AGGGUAAUAGCUCAGUGGUAGAGCACAUGCUUUGCAUGCACCAGGUCCUGGGUUCAAUCCCCACUACCUCCA
rnacentral:tRNA from 1 species